ACUCCUACGGGAGGCAGCAGUAGGGAAUCUUCCACAAUGGGCGCAAGCCUGAUGGAGCAACACCGCGUGAGUGAAGAAGGGUUUCGGCUCGUAAAGCUCUGUUGUUAAAGAAGGAACACGUAUGAGAGUAACUGUUCAUACGUUGACGGUAUUUAACCAGAAAGUCACGGCUAACUACGUGCCAGCAGCCGCGGUAAUACGUAGGUGGCAAGCGUUAUCCGGAUUUAUUGGGCGUAAAGAGAGUGCAGGCGGUUUUCUAAGUCUGAUGUGAAAGCCUUCGGCUUAACCGGAGAAGUGCAUCGGAAACUGGAUAACUUGAGUGCAGAAGAGGGUAGUGGAACUCCAUGUGUAGCGGUGGAAUGCGUAGAUAUAUGGAAGAACACCAGUGGCGAAGGCGGCUACCUGGUCUGCAACUGACGCUGAGACUCGAAAGCAUGGGUAGCGAACAGGAUUAGAUACCCUGGUAGGAUAGCG
rnacentral:rRNA from 1 species